AAGACUUUAAGUUAAAUAAACUAUAAACCUUCAAAGUUUAAAAUAAAAUUUUAAAAAUUUUAAAUCUUA
rnacentral:tRNA from 1 species